rnacentral:rRNA from 1 species
UACGGAGGGAGCUAGCGUUGUUCGGAAUUACUGGGCGUAAAGCGCACGUAGGCGGCUUUGUAAGUUAGAGGUGAAAGCCCGGGGCUCAACUCCGGAACUGCCUUUAAGACUGCAUCGCUUGAAUCCAGGAGAGGUGAGUGGAAUUCCGAGUGUAGAGGUGAAAUUCGUAGAUAUUCGGAAGAACACCAGUGGCGAAGGCGGCUCACUGGACUGGUAUUGACGCUGAGGCGCGAAAGCCAGGGGAGCAAACGGG